GGUUGGUGCAAAAGUAAUCGCGGUUUUUGCUAUUACUUUCAAUGGCAAAACCACUAUUACUUUUGC
ensembl:miRNA